rnacentral:rRNA from 1 species
UACAGAGGGGGCAAGCGUUGUUCGGAAUUACUGGGCGUAAAGGGCGCGUAGGCGGCCUUCUAAGUCGAACGUGAAAUCCCUGGGCUCAACCCAGGAACUGCGUCCGAUACUGGAAGGCUUGAAUCCGGGAGAGGGAUGCGGAAUUCCAGGUGUAGCGGUGAAAUGCGUAGAUAUCUGGAGGAACACCGGUGGCGAAGGCGGCAUCCUGGACCGGUAUUGACGCUGAGGCGCGAAAGCCAGGGGGAGCAAACGGGG